rnacentral:rRNA from 1 species
CACACCGCCCGUCACACCAUGGGAGUUUGUUGCACCAGAAGCAGGUAGCUUAACCGCAAGGGGGGCGCCUGCCACGGUGUGGCCGAUGACUGGGGUG